UACAGAGGUCUCAAGCGUUGUUCGGAUUCAUUGGGCGUAAAGGGUGCGUAGGCGGCGCGGUAAGUCGGGUGUGAAAUCUCGGGGCUUAACUCCGAAACUGCAUUCGAUACUGCCGUGCUUGAGGACUGGAGAGGAGACUGGAAUUUACGGUGUAGCGGUGAAAUGCGUAGAUAUCGAUAAGGAAGACCAGUGGCGAAGGCGGGUCUCUGGACAGUUCCUGACGCUGAGGAGCGAAAGCGUGGGGAGCGAACAGG
rnacentral:rRNA from 1 species